GUGACCAUAUCUUCACUUUUUCCUUACACAGUUAAUUUUCUUUUGUUUAUUUGAUUUACUUAUUAUCAUUUUUAUUUAUAUAUUUAUUUAUUUGCACCAGAUGCUUGCUUAGUUAUAUUGGGGUUACUUCACCUGCUUGGAGAAAGGAAAGACUCCAUUUUUACUAAGGUACCAGAAGAAGAACUAAGAACAGGGCAGUCUAGUGUGUAUUUGAUGGUGCAUCUGUAGCUGAACCAACAUGUAUUUCUAUGGCUGUAGUCUCAUUGGUAGCAGGGCUUUGUGUUUAAUAUUGAACACCCAAAAAAUUGUGAA